CAGAUGGCUUUGUGUGUGAUGAUUUUCCCAAACCCCAGAUCACGGUUCAGCCAGAAACACAGUCGGCAAUAAAAGGUUCCAAUUUGAGUUUCAUCUGCUCAGCUGCCAGCAGCAGUGAUUCCCCAAUGACUUUUGCUUGGAAAAAAGACAAUGAACUACUGCAUGAUGCCGAAAUGGAAAAUUAUGCACACCUCCGGGCCCAAGGUGGCGAGGUGAUGGAGUAUACCACCAUCCUUCGGCUGCGCGAGGUGGAAUUUGCCAGUGAGGGGAAAUAUCAGUGUGUCAUCUCCAAUCACUUUGGUUCAUCCUACUCUGUCAAAGCCAAGCUUACAGUAAAUAGUAUGUGAUCUGACUUUUCCUUUAGCAUUUAAAGAUACCUUUUAGAAAUAGAAAGCACCUGUUUUUCUCUCUUAAUCUUAACCCUGUCUUUUCUUCUCACAGUUCCCCACCUGACUCUUCCUUUCCCUACCUUUCAUUCCACAAAAUUAAGAUUCUUGGUUAUUUGUAUCUAAACCUGCAAUUAUGUUGAAGACGACACCGUACUCAGUGUGGUGAGUAAC
rnacentral:sRNA from 1 species